UCUGGGUGUGGUUUACAGAUUUGUUC
rnacentral:piRNA from 1 species